AUCAGUACAGUUACCACCUAGGGAUUUGGACUUGUGCUUCUUUCUUUCUCAUUCAUUUACCAUUUGGGGUGUUAUAUAUUCAUCUUUCAUUUAUUGUUGGUCUCUGCAGCUCCCUUACAACACUGCCAAUCCAGAGCCACAAAUGUUGAUUCCAGCCACCUGAUAGUGUUUAAUUUUGGCUGAAGUGAUAACCAUUUGGAUUAGGAUUUUCUCACCUUUAUGUCUUGUAGGUGGUGACUCUCCCCUUGGUUAAGAGCCCUUUUUCUUCCUUCUGAAGAAUGAAAGAGAAUUGGUGAUGAAACCUUUCCUUUUCUUGGAAGAGAUCCUGCAGUAUGACAGGAAUGCAACAGUAGGAUGUGAUGAUGAGAGAGAAUUUCUCAACAGGAUUCUAAAGGAUCACAGUAGCUCAAAGGAGUCACACCACUGCAAUGGAGAGGGGAUCUUAAACUGUGCUCUCCUGGGCUCCAUACUCCUACUACACUCUAUUCAGUUCAAGUGGUUUUGUGUCUUGCCUGAAAUCCUGUGGAAAGUUGCCUGCACUCCAGGCCAGACCAGGCAAUGCUCCUUCAGGACGUUGGGUGUGAAAGGCUCGUUUGAGGAUGCCAAUUGGAAGAACUGUCAAUGAGACAUUUGUUCAUGAGCUAUAUUAAAUGGCUGCAAUAAAAUAACU
rnacentral:lncRNA from 1 species